rnacentral:rRNA from 1 species
AUUGAACGCUGGCGGCAGGCUUAACACAUGCAAGUCGAGCGGGGUGAUGGUGCUUGCACUAUCACUUAGCGGCGGACGGGUGGGUAAUGCUUAGGAAUCUGCCUAUUAGUGGGGGACAACAUCUCGAAAGGGAUGCUAAUACCGCAUACGUCCUACGGGAGAAAGCAGGGGAUCACUUGUGACCUUGCGCUAAUAGAUGAGCCUAAGUCGGAUUAGCUAGUUGGUGGGGUAAAGGCCUACCAAGGCGACGAUCUGUAGCGGGUCUGAGAGGAUGAUGAGCCACACUGGGACUGAGACACGGCCCAGACUCCUACGGGAGGCAGCAGUGGGGAAUAUUGGACAAUGGGGGGAACCCUGAUCCAGCCAUGCCGCGUGUGUGAAGAAGGCCUUAUGGUUGUAAAGCACUUUAAGCGAGGAGGAGGCUCUUUUGGUUAAUACCCAAGAUGAGUGGACGUUACUCGCAGAAUAAGCACCGGCUAACUCUGUGCCAGCCGCCGCCGUAA